rnacentral:lncRNA from 1 species
AAUAGCUAAUAACCCAAAAUAAAUCAGUAAAUUAAAUCUUUACCAGCAAAAAUACAAAACAGACAAGAAUAAGGAAAACCAUUUUUCUAAAGUAAUUUAUUUAAAACUAUGUCGUCAUAGCCAAGGGGUCGCCUUAACCCGCCUUAGGCCGCCUUGACUCUUCUCGACCCUGCCAGGCCCACCUAGGGCAGCAAAAGGGGCCCCAUGACCCACCUAGGGCCGCCACAGGGCUGCCUUUACACGCCUUGACUCUCCUAGGCCCGUCUAAGGCCACCUUAACUCGUCUAGGGACGCCAAGAGGCCGCCUUGACCUUCCUAGGGCCGCCAAGGGGCCACCAUGACACGCCUAGGGCCGCAAAGGGGACGUCAUGACCCAUCGAGGGACUGCCUUUACACGCCUAGGGUUGUUUUGACCUCCCUUGGCCCACCAUGACCCGCCUAUGGCCGCCAAAGGGCUGCCUAGGGCCGCCAUGGGGCCACCUUGACCCGUAUUGGAACGCCUUGGCCGUCUUGACACGCCUUAGGCCGCCGUGAUCCGCCUUGACCCGCCUUGGGCCGCCUCGACCCGCCUUGAACUGCCUUGGGCCGCCUUUACCCUCCUAGACUCGCCUAGGCCCGCCUUAACUCUCCUAGACCCGCCUAGGCCCAUCAAAGGGCUGCCUUUACACACCUUAAUCCUCUUAGCCCGCCUAGGGCCACCUUGGCCCGUCAAGGGGCUGCCUUUACACGCCUUAACCCGUCUUGGCCCGCCUUAGGCCGCCUUGACCAUCCUCAGCCUUUAUAGGCCCACCUAAGGCAGCUAAUGGGAGCCAUGACCCACCUAGAGCCGCCAAUGGGCUGCCUUUACUCGCCUAUGACCUCUAAUGGGACGUCUUGACUCGCCAAGGGGCUGCCUUUACACGCCUAAGUCAGUUUUGACCUCCCUGGGCCCGCCAUGACCCACCUAGGGCCGCUAUGAGGCUACCUUGACCCGUCUAGGACCGCCNNNNNNNNNNNNNNNNNNNNNNNNNNNNNNNNNNNNNNNNNNNNNNNNNNNNNNNNNNNNNNNNNNNNNNNNNNNNNNNNNNGAGCCACCAAGGGGCUGCCUUUACACGCCUUGACCCGUCUAGGGCCGCCAAGGGGCCGCCUUGACACGCCUAGGGCUGCCAAGGGGACGUCUUGACCCGCCAAGGGGCUGCCUUUACACACCUAGGGCUAUUUUGACCUCUCUAGUGCCCGCGAUGACCCGCCUAGGGCUGCCUAUGUUCGCCAUGGGGCCACCUUGACCUGCAUUGGCCCAUCUUGGGCCGUUUUGACCCGCAUUGACCCUCCUUGGCUCUUCUAGGCCCACCUAGGGCAGUCAAGCGGGCGCCUUAACCCGCCUUAGACCGCCUUGGGCCGCCUUGACCCUCCUAGACCCGCCUAAGGCCACCAAGAAGCUGCCAUUACUCGCCAAGGGGUCGCCAUGACCCUCUUUGGCCCGUCUAGGGCCUCCUUAACCCGCCUUAGAUCGCCUUGACCCUGGGACGCCUUGACCCUGGGACGCCUUGGGCCGCCUUGACUCUCAUCGGCCCUACUAGGCCCACCUAGGGCAGGAAAGGGGGCGCUAUGACCCACCUAGGGCCGCCAAGGGGUGGCCUUGACCCGUUUAGGGGCUGUCUUGACCCUCCUAGACCCGCCUAGGGCCGCCUUGAUCCUCCUAGACUUGCCUAGGGCCACCAAGAAGUCUCCAUGUCUCGCCAAGGGGUUGCCAUUACACUCCUAGGCCCGUCUAGGGUCACCAAGGGGCCGUCUUAACCCGCCUUAGGCCGCCUUGACCCAUCUUGGCCCGCCUCGGCCCCAUGGGCCGCCUUGACCCUUGUCGGUUCUGCUAAGCCCACCUAGGGCAGCCAAGGGGCGCCAUGACCCACCUAGGACCGCCAAGGGGCUACCUUUACACGGCAAAGGCCACCAAGGAGCCGUCUUGACCCGCUAAGGGGCUAUCUUUACACGCCUAGGGCCGCUUUGACCUCCCUAAGCUAUUGAAAUUGCUGUUUUAAUUGGAAUUGAGUGACUUUCCAAGAUUUCGUUCUUUCAAUUCUUUUCAUAUUGACACCGGGAACUUUAGUUUUAAAAGAAAAUGAGGUAUUGCCCCUCAUUUCAAAUUUCACUAAAUUCGAGCCAAAAUCAUUUGCUAUAGCACACGAGUUUCCAGCCAGUUUCACUUUUUUUAGGACUACGGCUUUUUUCGUUCGGGUGUGCUUAUAGACACCUCCUAACACAUAUUGAACCAUUCUAGCUUCAAAAAUCCAUGUCUUUUUAUAAUUUACUCGUGAUCGGGCCUAAAUAACUCACGUCUGCCGUGUUUUGUAAAGCUGUUGAAAUUGUUGUUUUAAUUGGUAUUGAGUGACUUUUUAAGAUUUUUUUCUCUUCAAUUCUUCUCAUAAUGACAUCGGAAAC